rnacentral:rRNA from 1 species
AUUGAACGCUGGCGGCAUGCCUUACACAUGCAAGUCGAACGGCAGCAUGGGUGCUUGCACCUGAUGGCGAGUGGCGAACGGGUGAGUAAUGCAUCGGAACGUACCCGGAAGUGGGGGAUAACGUAGCGAAAGUUACGCUAAUACCGCAGAUUCUGUGAGCAGGAAAGCGGGGGAUCGCAAGACCUCGCGAUUCCGGAGCGGCAGAUGUCGGGUGAGCUAGUUGGCGGGGUAAAGGCCCACCAAGGCGACGAUCCGUAGCGGGUCUGAGAGGAUGAUCCGCCACACUGGGACUGAGACACGGCCCAGACUCCUACGGGAGGCAGCAGUGGGGAAUUUUGGACAAUGGGGGCAACCCUGAUCCAGCCAUGCCGCGUGAGUGAAGAAGGCCUUCGGGUUGUAAAGCUCUUUCGGCCGGGAAGAAAUCGCAUCUCCUAAUACGGGGUGUGGAUGACGGUACCGGAAUAAGAAGCACCGGCUAACUACGUGCCAGCCGCCGCGGUAA